rnacentral:tRNA from 1 species
UCCGAUAUGGUCUAGUGGCUAGGAUUUGCCGCUCUCAUUGAGAGUUAGAUUACUUCUAAGUACCGGCAAGGCCCGGGUUCGAUUCCCGGUGUCGGAA